GGUCAGAGCACACAGGCAUCCAGGGCCCCUAGAAAGUCUAAGUCUUCUGUGGCAGUAACUGGGCUCUUCCUGAGUGAGAAGGUGAGUUCCCAGAAAGCAUGGCUCCAUGCCUGGACAGACUGGACAGGAGAGACCCCGAGUGGUCAAAUGUAUUUCUCACUAGGGCUUGGAACAGACUCAUGACC
rnacentral:lncRNA from 1 species